AGUCUCAACUUCUCAUCUUUCCCCAAACUCCAAGUUUUUGAUAUCAAAGACAAUGAGUUUUCUGGAACUAUUCCUAGCCAAAUUGGUAACUUGUCCAAUAUUUUUAUGUUGAGUAUGGCUCAGAAUUUCUUGAGCGGUUUUAUCCCUCCAGAAAUAGGGGCGUUGACUACUCUAAAUGUGCUUGGAAUUGGUGAGAAUAAUCUCACUGGACUUGUUCCUAAAGAAAUUGGAAACUUGAGGAAUUUGACAAUAUUAUCUCUUUACAAAAAUCAUUUGUCAGGUCCCAUUCCUUUUGAAUUUGAGAAUCUCUCUUCUCUCACAAUAUUUGAGUUGUCAGAAAACAACUUGUAUGGGCCAAUACCACCCUUUAUUAGAAACUUCACAAAUAUCACUUGGUUAAGUUUGUGGGCCAAUAGACUUUCAAGAUCAAUCCCAUCCUCUUUAGGAGACUUGGUCAAUUUACAAAGCCUCUACCUUGGGAUUAACAAUCUUUCUCGACCUAUUCCAUCUACGAUAGGAAAUCUGAUCAAAUUAGAAUAUCUAAACCUCAGAGUUAACUCUCUUCUGGAUCUAUUCCUGCUACAAUAGAAAAUUUGACCAAACUAAAAUUUCUUUUUAUCCAUCAAAAUAAAUUAUAUGGCCCAAUACCACCCUUUAUUGGAAACCUCACAAAACUCACUCAAUUGUUUUUGGGGCACAACAAAUUUCGAGGAUCAAUUCCAUCCUCUAUGGGAAGCUUGGUCAAUUUAGAAGUCCUUUCUCUCAACAAUAACUCUCUUUCUGGACAAAUCCCGGCUAUAAUAGGAAACUUGAAACGGCUCAGGAUCCUAGAAUUGAGAUGGAACAAACUCAAUGGGAGCAUUCCAACAGAAAGUAAUAACAUUUCAAACUGGAAUAGCUUACAACUUAGUUGGAAUGAUUUAAUUGGCCAUUUGUCGCAGCAAAUUUGCCUUGGAGGAUCACUUGAAUUUUUUGCUGCUUCUGCAAACAAAUUCACUGGUCCAAUUCCAAGAACCUUGAGAAACUGCUCUAGCCUUGUCAGACUCUUUCUUGAUGAUAACCAAUUAGUUGGAAACAUAAGUGAUUUUGGUGUGCUUCCAAAUUUGAAAUACAUUGAUUUGAGUGGCAAUAAAUUUUAUGGCCCCAUUUCAUCAUUAUGGGAAAUGUUUCAUAAUCUUUCAACGCUUAAAAUUUCUAAUAACAAUCUUUUUGGCAGUAUACCACUAGAAGUAAGAGAGGCAACCAAUCUUGGGGAACUUAACCUCUCUUCAAAUUACUUGACUGGUGAAAUUCCUAAAGAAAUAGGGAAAAUGAACUCAUUGACUAGACUUUCUUUGAGCAACAAUCAAUUUUCUGGCAAGAUUCCCCUCGAAAUAGGAUCAUUGAAUAAGCUUGAAAAGUUGGAGUUAGCAGCAAAUAAUUUCAACAUUUCAAUCCCUAAAGAGCUCACAAGACUUGGCAAGUUAUUGCUCUUGAACUUAAGCAAAAAUAAAUUUGAGGGAAGUAUUCCUGUUGAGUUUGGUCAGUUACAGGCUCUAGAAGAACUUGAUCUUAGUGAGAAUAUGUUGAGCAAUGGAAUUCCAGCAACACUUGGGACAUUAAAGAUGUUGUGAAUUUUGAACCUUUCACAUAAUAAUCUCUCCGGCACCAUUUCAUCUGAUUUUGAUGAUAUGUUAGGCUUGACAUUGGUUGACAUAUUGUACAACCAUUUAGAGGGACCUCUUCCGAACAUUCCAGCCUUUCAAAAUAUUACAUUUGAGGUAGUGAGAAAUAACACAAGUUUAUGUGGUAAUGUUACUGGCUUAGAGCUUUGCAAUAAGCAUAGCAAUGACCCACAAAGUCAUGUGAACAAAAUAGUGAAGCUAUUAGUGUCAUUGCUUGUUUGUUUUGUGACUCUAAUGCUAGUAGUGGGUGGAAUUUCAUAUAUUCUUAUUCAAAAAUCAAAGAAAAGAAAAGGUCAUGAUGGAGAAGCAAUAACACUCAAUCUUUUCUCCAUUUUGGGUUUUGACGAGGAAAUCUUGCGUGAAAAAGUUGUUGAGGCUAUGGACAAUUUUGAUGACAAAUAUCUCAUUGGAGUUGGAGCACAAGGAAGCGUUUAUAAAGUUGAGCUACUUGAUAGUCAGAUUUUUGCUGUGAAAAAACUCCAUCCAAAUUGUAAUGCAAAUUUUUCUAAUCUUAAAGCAUUUUCAAGUGAAAUUCAAGCAUUGACAGAAAUCAAACAUCGUAAUGUUGUGAAGUUGCUUAGGUUUUAUUCAAAUUCACGCCUCUCAUUCCAUGUUUAUGAGUUCCUAGAAGGUGGUAGCUUGGAUAAAAUUUUAAAAAAUGAUUUGCAAGCAUCUAAACUUGAUUGGGAUAAGAGGGUAAUUCUUGUUAGAGGUAUGGUUGAUGCAUUAUUCCACAUGCACCAUGGUCUCUCGUGCCCUAUAGUUCAUCUUGACAUUUCAAGCAAAAACAUCCUAUUAGAUCAAGAAUAUCAAGAAGCUCAUAUCACGGACUUUGGAAUAGCAAAGUUUCUAAAGCUAGACUCCAACAACAUGACCUCAUUUGCUGGCACCUAUGGCUAUGUUGCUCUAGAAAUUGCUUUUACAAUGCAAGCAAAUGAAAAAUGUGAUGUCUAUAGUUUUGAGGUUCUUACCUUGGAAAUCCUAAUGGGAAGACAUCCAGGGGAGUUUACUUAUUCUUUGGCAAAGAAUAUUCCAACAUCUUACAAUCUCUCACUUAAGGAUGUAUUGGAUCAACGGCUUCCUCCACCUUCAAACCAAGUUGUUAAGGAAGUAAUGCUGAUUGCAAAAAUAGCAUUUGCUUGUUUGAAUGAUAAUCCACAAUGCCGUCCAACCAUGGAACAAGUAUCUUUGGAACUUGUGAGGCCUAAACCUUAUUCAAUGAACUAGUUCAACAAACAUCACACUUGAACAACUCAUGAAAGUCAGCUGGGCAAAGCCAAAUUCAGGGAGCUUGUAUAUGAUUUUGCUCCUCUCUUCUCCUCUUCCUGUCGCACUUCCCUCGAUCUUGUUGUGGUGUUAUCACCCCCCCCACCAGCAGUCCAUCCUUUCUUUUUCCCUCUCUUGUCUGUAUGCCUCUGUGGAGUUGAGUAGUUAAAACUCUUCCUCUGUUUCUUCUUUGCUGUAGGCUGACGAUGGUGCAUGAGGGUGUUUAAAUUUCAUCUUCCUCCUUCGUUCUUAGCAUCGCUGGUGAGGGAGAUGAGGAUUUGUGUUCUGCCAUUCUUCUUCCUCUACUUUUCCUGUGAAGGUUUGUUCGAGCCUUCGAUCUGCAACCUCGGGCGUCGCCUCCUUCUUCACUGUUGCAGCUGUCAAUGCUGCCAUGGGUGAGCUCGAAAGCUUCAUUUACCAGGUUUUAAAAAUGAUGCUAUUAUGGGAGUUAGUGUGUGCUGUAUGAGUUUUUAAUGGUGGUUGUCUCUUCCCCUGUACCAUCGUCGUCUUUCUUCCAUCUCUGUUUGCUUCAAGUGCGUCCGGUCUCUCUCUCCCUACUCCUUGUUCGUUUGUGUGGGUGUGUUUAAAUAAUGAAAAAUUUUGAUCUGUCACUUCCUUUUGUUACUGCCGUGAAGAAUGGAGGAGAUGGAGAACUAAUUCCUUGAGUUACGACUAAUCGAGAAAAAAAAAUUUAGGAGGCUGAUUUAUUUAAAUAUUGAUGUUAAGAGAAUUUUUGAAAAUGGAAGUGAAUGGGAAGAAGUUUGAUAUUAGUUUAAUCCAUAUGAGGUGUUCGGUGAAAUGCCUGUUAGGAGAAUUUUGCUUGAUUAUGCAUUUAUGAAAUCUUAUUAAUUAGGGUGAGAAGCAUGAGUGAUUUAAAUUCUAUUUAGUUGAGAUGUAACUUAAACAUUACUAAAAACUUGAUCUUAAGGUAUUGUAUGGUUAGUUGAAUUUUUGAAAGUUCCA